ACGUACACUCCUGCGGGAGGCAGCAGUGGGGAAUAUUGGACAAUGGGCGCAAGCCUGAUCCAGCCAUGCCGCGUGAGUGAUGAAGGCCCUAGGGUUGUAAAGCUCUUUCACCGGUGAAGAUAAUGACGGUAACCGGACAAGAAGCCCCGGCUAACUUCGUGCCAGCAGCCGCGGUAAUACGAAGGGGGCUAGCGUUGUUCGGAUUUACUGGGCGUAAAGCGCACGUAGGCGGACUAUUAAGUCAGGGGUGAAAUCCCGGGGCUCAACCCCGGAACUGCCUUUGAUACUGGUAGUCUUGAGUUCGAGAGAGGUGAGUGGAAUUCCGAGUGUAGAGGUGAAAUUCGUAGAUAUUCGGAGGAACACCAGUGGCGAAGGCGGCUCACUGGCGCGAUACUGACGCUGAGGUGCGAAAGCGUGGGGAGCAAACAGGAUUAGAAACCCUGGUAGUCCCAUGAU
rnacentral:rRNA from 1 species